GGAGCAACACGUGAGCAAUCUGCCCCUGACUCUGGGAUAAGCGCUGGAAACGGCGUCUAAUACUGGAUACGAACCGUGGAGGCAUCUUCAACGGUUGGAAAGAUUUUUUGGUCAGGGAUGAGCUCGCGGCCUAUCAGCUUGUUGGUGAGGUAAUGGCUCACCAAGGCGUCGACGGGUAGCCGGCCUGAGAGGGUGACCGGCCACACUGGGACUGAGACACGGCCCAGACUCCUACGGGAGGCAGCAGUG
rnacentral:rRNA from 1 species